rnacentral:rRNA from 1 species
GGCCCGCACAAGCGGUGGAGCAUGUGGUUUAAUUCGAUGCAACGCGAAGAACCUUACCAUCCCUUGACAUCCAGUGAAUUUUCCAGAGAUGGAUUAGUGCCUUCGGGAACACUGAGACAGGUGCUGCAUGGCUGUCGUCAGCUCGUGUUGUGAGAUGUUGGGUUAAGUCCCGCAACGAGCGCAACCCUUAUCCUUAGUUGCCAGCACGUAAUGGUGGGAACUCUGGGGAGACUGCCGGUGAUAAACCGGAGGAAGGUGGGGACGACGUCAAGUCAUCAUGGCCCUUACGGGAUGGGCUACACACGUGCUACAAUGGCGCAUACAAAGGGCAGCAAGCCAGCGAUGGUUAGCGAAUCUCAUAAAGUGCGUCGUAGUCCGGAUCGGAGUCUGCAACUCGACUCCGUGAAGUCGGAAUCGCUAGUAAUCGUGGAUCAGAAUGCCACGGUGAAUACGUUCCCGGGCCUUGUACACACCGCCCGUCACACCAUGGGAGUGGGCUGCACCAGAAGUGGUUAGUUUAACCUUCGGGAGAACGAUCACCACGGUGUGGUUCAUGACU